rnacentral:ncRNA from 2 species
AGCCUGUUCCACGCAAAAGGUGCCUGCCUAACCGCAGGUGAAAAGGGAAGCCGGUGAGAAUCCGGCGCUAUGCCCGUAACUGUAAGCGGAGAGGGACUGGCCAUAAAGCCACUGGGAAUUUCCCGGGAAGGCGGCCUGUUCCACCGAUCCGCAAGCCAGGAGACCUGCCUCUUGCCGUCGUUUGCC